rnacentral:sRNA from 1 species
CAAUGCUUCAGCUCUCAAGAUAACCAGUUUAUCUUCGAUGCUUCUGUGAAGUAUUGUGUUGAAGUAGCUACUCAUCAGCAUGGAUGCUGUGUAUUGCAACGCUGUAUUUAUUACUCUAUGGGUAAAAAUCGAGAUAGGCUGAUCUCAGAAAUAUGCAAGCAUGGACUUCUCCUCGCCCAGGAUCCAUUUGGAAACUAUGUUGUUCAAUAUAUUAUAGAAACUGAUACUCCAACUGCCGUAGCCAAAAUGCUUGGUCAGUUUAAAGGGAAUUAUGUACAUUUGUCUACACAGAAAUUCAGCAGUCAUGUGGUUGAAAAAUGUCUCAGAAAUGUUGGAGAUACGAGGUCCAGGAUAGUUCGAGAAUUGCUGGCUGCCCCUCAUUUUGAACGACUUUUGCAAGAUCCAUAUGCCAAUUAUGUCAUUCAAUCUGCUCUCUCCUUCACCAAGGGCCUUCUGCAUGCUUCUUUGGUUGAUGC